rnacentral:rRNA from 1 species
UACGUAGGGUGCAAGCGUUGUCCGGAAUUAUUGGGCGUAAAGAGCUCGUAGGCGGUCUGUCGCGUCUGCUGUGAAAACUCAGGGCUUAACUCUGAGCUUGCAGUGGGUACGGGCAGACUAGAGUGCGGUAGGGGAGACUGGAAUUCCUGGUGUAGCGGUGAAAUGCGCAGAUAUCAGGAGGAACACCGAUGGCGAAGGCAGGUCUCUGGGCCACUACUGACGCUGAGAAGCGAAAGCAUGGGGAGCGAACAGG